GGGGAAUAUUGGACAAUGGGCGAAAGCCUGAUCCAGCGACGCCGCGUGAGCGAUGAAGUAUUUCGGUAUGUAAAGCUCUAUCAGCAGGGAAGAAAAUGACGGUACCUGACUAAGAAGCCCCGGUUAACUACGUGCCAGCAGCCGCGGUAAUACGUAGGGGGCAAGCGUUAUCCGGAUUUACUGGGUGUAAAGGGAGCGUAGACGGAUGGACAAGUCUGAUGUGAAAGGCUGGGGCUCAACCCCGGGACUGCAUUGGAAACUGCCCGUCUUGAGUGCCGGAGAGGUAAGCGGAAUUCCUAGUGUAGCGGUGAAAUGCGUAGAUAUUAGGAGGAACACCAGUGGCGAAGGCGGCUUACUGGACGGUAACUGACGUUGAGGCUCGAAAGCGUGGGGAGCAAACAGGAUUAGAUACCCUGGUAGUCCACGCGGUAAACGAUGAAUGCUAGGUGUCGGGUGACAAAGUCAUUCGGUGCCGCCGCAAACACAUUAAGCAUUCCACCUGGGGAGUACGUUCGCAAGAAUGAAACUCAAAGGAAUUGACGGGGGCCCGCACAGGCGGUGGAGCAUGUGGUUUAAUUCGAAGCAACGCGAAGAACCUUACCAAGUCUUGACAUCCCGGUGACCGGACAGUAAUGUGUCCUUUUCUUCGGAACACCGGUGACAGGUGGUGCAUGGUUGUCGUCAGCUCGUGUCGUGAGAUGUUGGGUUAAGUCCCGCAACGAGCGCAACCCUUAUCCCCAGUAGCCAGCGGUUCGGCCGGGCACUCUGAGGAGACUGCCAGGGAUAACCUGGAGGAAGGUGGGGAUGACGUCAAAUCAUCAUGCCCCUUAUGAUUUGGGCUACACACGUGCUACAAUGGCGUAAACAAAGGGAAGCGAGCCUGUGAAGGUAAGCAAAUCCCAAAAAUAACGUCCCAGUUCGGACUGCAGUCUGCAACUCGACUGCACGAAGCUGGAAUCGCUAGUAAUCGCGGAUCAGAAUGCCGCGGUGAAUACGUUCCCG
rnacentral:rRNA from 1 species